AGUUUAGGCUAGGGGGGCUGGAUAGGCCAGCUGAGAUAAAGACCCUUUGAUGUCUUUGACCCUUGAACCUGAUUCUGGGUAAUACCAGCGUAGGGAAGCUCAUUGAUGUCAUC
rnacentral:ncRNA from 1 species